rnacentral:rRNA from 1 species
GCCUACGGGAGGCAGCAGUGGGGAAUUUUGCGCAAUGGGCGAAAGCCUGACGCAGCGACGCCGCGUGGAGGAUGAAGGUCUUCGGAUUGUAAACCCCUGUCGAAUGGGACGAACGGCCCGCGCACUAACACCGUGCGGGAGUGACGGUACCGUUAAAGGAAGCCACGGCUAACUCUGUGCCAGCAGCCGCGGUAA